rnacentral:rRNA from 1 species
UGGUACGGUGAAUACGUUCCCGGACCUUGUACACACCGCCCGUCAAGCCAUGGAAGCUGGGUGUACCUAAAGUCGGUAACCGUAAGGAGCCGCCUAGGGUAAAACUAGUAACUGGGGCU